rnacentral:rRNA from 1 species
UACGUAGGGCGCAAGCGUUGUCCGGAAUUAUUGGGCGUAAAGAGCUCGUAGGCGGUCUGUCGCGUCGGUUGUGAAAACACAAGGCUCAACCUUGUGCCUGCAAUCGAUACGGGCAGACUAGAGUACUGCAGGGGAGACUGGAAUUCCUGGUGUAGCGGUGGAAUGCGCAGAUAUCAGGAGGAACACCGGUGGCGAAGGCGGGUCUCUGGGCCGAUACUGACGCUGAGGAGCGAAAGCGUGGGGAGCGAACAGGAUAGAUACC